rnacentral:rRNA from 1 species
ACCUUUUGUAUAAUGGGUCAGCGACUUAUAUUCUGUAGCAAGGUUAACCGAAUAGGGGAGCCGAAGGGAAACCGAGUCUUAACUGGGCGUUAAGUUGCAGGGUAUAGACCCGAAACCCGGUGAUCUAGCCAUGGGCAGGUUGAAGGUUGGGUAACACUAACUGGAGGACCGAACCGACUAAUGUUGAAAAAUUAGCGGAUGACUUGUGGCUGGGGGUGAAAGGCCAAUCAAACCGGGAGAUAGCUGGUUCUCCCCGAAAGCUAUUUAGGUAGCGCCUCGUGAAUUCAUCUCCGGGGGUAGAGCACUGUUUCGGCAAGGGGGUCAUCCCGACUUACCAACCCGAUGCAAACUGCGAAUACCGGAGAAUGUUAUCACGGGAGACACACGGCGGGUGCUAACGUCCGUCGUGAAGAGGGAAACAACCCAGACCGCCAGCUAAGGUCCCAAAGUCAUGGUUAAGUGGGAAACGAUGUGGGAAGGCCCAGACAGCCAGGAUGUUGGCUUAGAAGCAGCCAUCAUUUAAAGAAAGCGUAAUAGCUCACUGGUCGAGUCGGCCUGCGCGGAAGAUGUAACGGGGCUAAACCAUGCACCGAAGCUGCGGCAGCGACGCUGAUGCGUUGUUGGGUAGGGGAGCGUUCUGUAAGCCUGUGAAGGUGUGCUGUGAGGCAUGCUGGAGGUAUCAGAAGUGCGAAUGCUGACAUAAGUAACGAUAAAGCGGGUGAAAAGCCCGCUCGCCGGAAGACCAAGGGUUCCUGUCCAACGUUAAUCGGGGCAGGGUGAGUCGACCCCUAAGGCGAGGCCGAAAGGCGUAGUCGAUGGGAAACAGGUUAAUAUUCCUGUACUUGGUGUUACUGCGAAGGGGGGACGGAGAAGGCUAUGUUGGCCGGGCGACGGUUGUCCCGGUUUAAGCGUGUAGGCUGGUUUUCCAGGCAAAUCCGGAAAAUCAAGGCUGAGGCGUGAUGACGAGGCACUACGGUGCUGAAGCAACAAAUGCCCUGCUUCCAGGAAAAGCCUCUAAGCAUCAGGUAACAUCAAAUCGUACCCUAAACCGACACAGGUGGUCAGGUAGAGAAUACCAAGGCGCUUGAGAGAACUCGGGUGAAGGAACUAGGCAAAAUGGUGCCGUAACUUCGGGAG